rnacentral:rRNA from 1 species
GAUGAACGCUGGCGGCGUGCCUAAUACAUGCAAGUCGAGCGAACAGACGAGGAGCUUGCUCCUCUGACGUUAUCGGCGGACGGGUGAGUAACACGUGGAUAACCUACCUAUAAGACUGGGAUAACUUCGGGAAACCGGAGCUAAUACCGGAUAAUAUAUUGAACCGCAUGGUUCAAUAGUGAAAGACGGUUUUGCUGUCACUUAUAGAUGGAUCCGCGCCGCAUUAGCUAGUUGGUAAGGUAACGGCUUACCAAGGCAACGAUGCGUAGCCGACCUGAGAGGGUGAUCGGCCACACUGGAACUGAGACACGGUCCAGACUCCGACGGGAGGCAGCAGUAGGGAAUCUGCCGCAAUGGGCGAAAGCCUGACGGAGCAACGCCGCGUGAGUGAUGAAGGUCUUCGGAUCGUAAAACUCUGUUAUUAGGGAAGAACAAAUGUGUAAGUAACUGUGCACGUCUUGACGGUACCUAAACAGAAAGCCACGGCUAACUACGUG